UCAUCAUGAUCUCUGGGGACAACUGUACUUUUCAUUUGUCAAAAACGCAGGUGUCAGAACCACCCAGCCUGGCAGCCCUUGUCAAAACAGUCCCAGGUCUCUGUAAACACAUUCCAGUCCAACACAGAGAGGUGCGGCAAGACUAUCACCUUUUACCCAAUUAGUAAACACAACUGAUUUGUGUGGUAAAAAGACUCUUAGCUCCAUUGUGCCAGCUAAUAAAUUUCUCAUAAACAGGUCCUUCGGGAGGGACCAGUUCUAACCUACGUACACCAAUAUCUGUAACAGAAACCUUUGCAUAAUCAACACAGGCUGGAUCUAAGCAUGCUUCUCAAAACCUUUUGUUCUUCAAAAUGCAGAGUAUGCUUACGGAAUAAAAAAUACUCCUGUUUUCCAAGAUUGUAUCAAUGCCAUUAAUAAAAAUAAGCUGAUUAGGUAACGCGGAGGAUCCAACCCACAACCUUCCUCUAGUGCAGAAUGGCUGUGCGACAUGUUGGAGCUGGCCUUAGGUCUGAAUAGUGUAUGCUCAACUUUUUCCAUUCUCCUGGAAGUGGUACAUUAUUAUAGCGAUAGCUGUUUUACCCUGCUGCUUUUGACUUGCUAUUUCCUCAAGUCUGUUGAGGUUAAUACCAGUUUUCCUUUCCUAGCUAACCUCCAAGGAAAUAUCUGCAAACUCUUGACAUUUUAGAGCUUCUCAGAUCCAGCAUGCAUCCUGGCCAGCCAAGCAAGCAAGUCAUUUAGAAGCCAUUGCCACAUUGCCAUCUUCCUUCUCAAUACCAGGGGAGAGAAAGGGGAAGGAGAAAGAGAUCCGUUGCUUAUGACAGGGCUUGAGUCUGCAAAGCAACAUGGUCAGCAGUUGAGAUCCUCAGUGAUUGUAUUGAGCACUGGACACUUCUGCAAGGACUGCAGCAUUUGGAAGAGAAGCUCCGCCUUCUCUCAUGAAAGGGGGCUCAGCCCUGCAUUUGAUGGAAGAUGCAGUCAGGAUAGAAAAUUGGAACUGAAGUUUUUGUUUUGAAUGCCUGAAGCACUCUCCAGCACUUGAUUUUCUGAUGUUUGUGUGGCAUUCAGCAAUGCAGAAUCUCCUAUACUAGGUGUCAUCUUAAUAGCUAUGAUAGUUUUGAAGGCCAUCCUGUAAAAGCAAAACCAUCCCACCCUAUCAUCUGUAGUUUGUGCAGUGAUCAGAGAGCACAUGAGACUCCACACGGAUUUAGUUGGGAAGGACCUCAUCCUAACAGUCUCACCAAGUAAACAUCUUAUUAGCACAGCCAAGGGAAACCUCAGACACAUUCAUCCUGCUGUUCAUCCAGAAGUUCAUCCAUCCCAAGUGGGCCAGCAGAAACUGGAGACUGAAGACACAUUUAUAUUCACAGAGGAGGGUCACCUUUUGGCAGAGAAACCCAAAUAAUCAAGAGAUCUGUCAAGACUUCUCUAUUGGUUUUCUCUUUGAAGACAAAUAGCAUGCUUUUAUCUUCAUACACAGAAUAUUCUUCUGUGAAACUUCAGCCUGUGGGAGACACUGACAGUCUCUGAAAAACAACCAAAUGGCCAGGAGGCCAGCUUUAAUCAUUUGUAGCUAACACACUGAGAAACAUAGAGAGGCUGGGUAGAACAAUUCUAUGUAGGAAGUCAAAAGGACUGUAUUCCUUACAAUUACCAGCCUUCAGAGGAAAGACAGGCUUUCGUGGUAUAAAAAAUAGUGGUGCUGUAGUUAUACCAUAUUUGCUGCAUUCUGUGUGAAUUAUUUUCAUUCAAGUAUGAACUGUGUUGGAGGCUUUCUAAUUUACAUUAUGCCUCUGAAUGCAUUUCUAUAGCUCCUUUUGAGGAGAACUUGGGGGUUUAAACAAAUUGAAUAUUGUUCUCUUUCAUGUAGAUCAUCCGGAUCCAGUCAAUGACUCAGUUUUUUAUAGCCCUUUUAAAAUUUCAUUUUAUUUUUAGAGAGCAGAACUUUCUUUUUAGUUUGUUGGAUCCUGUUCUUUUGCAGAGACACAUUUUUCGAGAAAUCACAAGUGGCUUCAUACAAACACUCAGGAAGGAUCAGAGACUGGAAAAGCUGUAGAGGCCAUAGGAAGAUCUGAGGCUGGAGCACAGCACUGUUGUAUGAUGCAAUGUAUUACAGCGGAUAUCAGAUUAAGUGGAAUUGCUACUUGCUGUUCAACAUAUUUCAAGCCUUUGCCACGCUUGUUACAUUGGGAAGGGAUGGGGGCAGCCAGGAGCUGUGUUUGCUGCACAACACAGCAGUGACAGCAUGAUCCAAAGGAAAGAAUUUGCUAUGCUCAGCUGUGACAGAGCAAUGCUGCUGCUUUCCUGGGCACGGGGCAACCAUCUGCUGCCUCUCACAAAAUGCAAGGGCUCCAGCUCCAGAUUUUAAAUUCCCAAACUCUCUAACGCUAAGGACAGGGAAAUACAGCCUGAAGCCUAACCCAGCUGAGGGUUUUCUCCUGUCUCACAGACAGUCCCAGACUAAGGACCACAUAGUGAGUCUCUAGGGAAGACAAACUUGGUUUUCCUCUUUCUUUCUCAACUUUCUGAUGGUCAGUACCCUGUCACUCCCCAUCUGCAGCAUAUGGUGCUCACAUCCAUUUUCACUUGCUUCUGGAUCCUGUGUCGUUCUCUGCUGUAGAAACAGUUGUCUGUGACAAGGGCAGCAGAUACACUGCCAGAGAUGUCUGGAUACCUAACCUCUAGGUCUUAUAGCAUGGUCUUUGUUAUCAGGAAUAGUAGAUAGCUUGGAAAAGAAAAACUCCAAAAA